GCUAUUUGCUUCUUCUGUCUGUACUUUAAUAUCUCUGACGUCCUGGUUACAGAUUGAGCAUGCCCAACAUUUGGCACCAGGAUCAGCCAACCGGUUUGGUCAACUUCAGAUUGUAGCUUCAGUUCAGCCGGAUCAUUUGCUUGAUGAUGCUGAAUCUGUUGUUAAGAAGCUCGGUUCUGAGAGAGGCCUAACGGAGUCUUAUCUAUUCCAAUCUCUCUUAAAUGGCAAUGCACUCUUGGCGCUUGGUUCAGACUGGCCUGUAGCAGACAUUAACCCGUUGAACAGUAUUAGAACCGCGGUGA